GAAUAUGAAGCAAAUUAAAUGCAAUUAGUUUCGACCUAAUUUAUUGAUAUUAAAUUAUCCUUAUUCU
rnacentral:tRNA from 1 species